AAUAGGGUGCGCGCGUCAUGGUCUUCCGCCGACGAGGUGGAAGCUAAGAGGGAAUCCGGUGUGAAACCGGAGCUGACCCGCAACUGUAAGCGGUGAGCCGUUCGCCCAAAUGUCACUGGCAAUAUUGCCGGGAAGACGGGCGGCAUGGGCUGCGAUCCGUGAGCCAGGAGACCUGCCUGACAGAGUGAGAUUCC
rfam:Aminobacter sp. Root100 contig_6, whole genome shotgun sequence.